GAAGAUUUUUACUGGAAAGAGAAACAGGUGGAAAGAGGGCCGAUGGUUAGAGACGCACCAGACAGGUUCUCGUCCACAUCAACCGGUUUGGCGAGUCAACGGCCUCCACCUCUUGAACAAUAAUCUCUUGCAAACACACAGCAGGGGAAUGAGCGGGCUCACUGGGCCCUACCCCGCUCGAGCUCUCUGGUUGGCUCUGAUAUUCUUCCCGCACGUGUUUGAACGCAACAGACCGACGUGUUUUUGGGCGAUACGAUCUCAUCAGAAGCGCUCUAGAGUUGGGAACGGGUUAAAAAUUAUAUAUAUUUUUUUUUAACCUGAGGUAAAGGAUACAAAAUGCCUCUAGAGAGAGUUGAUCUUGUCGUUGGCGCGGUGACGCACCUGUCAGGAAGUAACUGCAGACAUGCUGACAUGUCACGCACAUGGAGGAAGACGUUUUUUUUCUCUCCAACACUGUGCCACUCACUGCCUGUUGUGAAAAGGUGAAGGGAAUUUACAAAAACAAAUGUUUUUCUCCUCACGUAUUAGCUUGUCAGGCAAGCCAGCCAAUCAGACCUUCCCAAGUCAACUUUUGUUUGCUUUGUAAAAAAAAAACAACAUAAAUUUUGUUGUCAUCCAAACAUGAAUAUGUUCAUAUAAAAUUAGUGAAGCCACCAAUAGCGCCUAGCCUAACUAAUUGAUAGUGAUUUCCAGUGGUCUGAAGAGGCCUGAGACCAUUGGAAAUCAGUGUUUACUUUUAAGGACUGAGGGUCAUUAAAGAAAAAAACAUGAUGUGCUGUAGGAUUGUGACAGAGGCAAUAGUUUAGAAUCCAACAAGAAAAUAAAGUAAACACAGCCGAAUCAAUGUAUCUACAUCAAAGAAGCUGUAGGUACAUUGAUGUAUCAACAUGAGAUACAUUAAUGUAUCUAAUCUUAUAGUUGAAGUUGUUGGGAUUUUGCAGCAUUGGAAGGUCAUGAAUGAGAGCUGAUCCUGGAAUUUCUCCGAUUCGGACUACAUUUCUGUUCUUGUACCCAUGAUUUCAACAAAUGAAGGAACCGGUUUUGAACAGCUGUCUAUUCAUUAAUUCUAUUAAUUAAAUUUUACCUCAGCAACAUAAUUAAAUAAAACAGCUCUGGGUAAAGUCAUCCUCUUCACCAAGUCGUACCUCGCUUUGGAGCAAAUUCGUCUCUGCCUUCUUCCAUUUUAUGCCUGUAAGCAACUCAUUUUGUUCCCAUGAACUUAAACCAUUCUCUUUCUAUCAGUAAUUUCAAAAUUUAUAGUCAUUAUAAAAUGUUCUAACUUUAUGUAUAUUUAAAUUUCAGCGUACAAUACUUUAAAAAGCUUUUAUAUUCUAUGAAAUCAGCAUUUAUUAUGGUUCUGAUCCAGUGUUAGGACCCCUGUUCAAACUAAUAUAACUCUAAGCAACCUGCUGCUGGUGAGUAAUGUUUAUUGGAAUCACAUAAACAAAUUUCCGUUCAAGCUAAGUUAAUCUGGAAAAUAGCUUUAAAUCAUCGAUGGUCAAAGAAGGUACAAAACGUUCCAGAGGCGGAUGCAAAUCAAGCUCCAACUGUGAAAUUAAACAUCUAGUGUAAAAUACCAAUAAUAGUAAAAAAAAAAAAACAUAAAUAAAACUCCAAAAUUGUUCUUAUGGCUUUUGGUUUACGUGAUUUCAGAUAAGUGAGUUUCAAAACCACGCCAAACAAACCGGGAAAUGUAAUAGUCUCAGAAGCGGAGUGUGGGAAGAGGGGAGUCUGGUUGACAGGCAGAGUUUGAAUGGAGAGCCCCUCCCCCACCGGCCUGCUGCGGGGUGUUGUCCUGUGAAGGGACCGUCCCCGCUGAUCUCUCUCCAUAUUUGUUAAAGCUCAGAAAAGUAUUCAGACUACUGAAACUACCGCAGCUUUAGACAAACAUGUGUAUGCAGGGACGAAAUAACGGGCCUCUUUUUCAGACCGUCACCGACAGCUUCUUGUAGUUCACGUGCUGAAAACACAAACAAACUCUUAGCCGGAAAUAUGUGAGGGCAGUUCAAAAGGCAGGCCGUAGCUCCUCUCGGCUUCCGAAGGACGCCACAGACAAACCUGUUGCUUUCAGUGGACACUUUUAGCAAAUGAGGCGUCACUUUCCCCCCUCCACAACAAACACAAGACGGACUCUCGCUAAGUCUAACUGCGGGUAUGGUAACAUUAGCUCUGUAGUGACACGUGCUGAUUGAAAUCUGCACAGAAAAGUAGCUCCCAAGAGUUCGCCAUUGGCCUGCACGCGCCAGUCGUGACGACCAGUUUUACACUGUACGUCCACAACUGCGUACAACUGCUCGGAUUCUUCCUGCCCCCCGCCUCAAAGAAUGAGACUUGUUUACCUCCAGCUUUCAUUAAGCUUGGAGUAACGACCGUAUUAAACUUCCGGAAAGCGUGCCAACCAGUGUCUCACGUCCUUGAAAAGGGGGGAAUAAAUAAAUAAAUAGCUGGGAGAGACAGGCAGACAGAGGGGCGGCCCAUGAGACAUGUGAGUCGUGAUCGGCUCUCUAGCGCAGCACGGUGUUCCCAAACGGUGAGACUCGCGCUAGAGCAGAAUAAAAAAAUAAAAUAAAAUAAAAAUAGGUGAUCAUUUCUAAUUGGUAAAACGGUUUAGCAACAGUAAUUAGGACUGUGUAACGACUGCCGGUAAUCCUAUCAAAUCAUCCCCCAGAUCUGCCCGCAUUAGUCAAGCUUCCACAUCCGUCUUAAAGUAUUGAAAACAGCGCUAAAACGAUUUUCAAGAGUUGGAUUCAAUAAUCCGGGGUAUGAGAGAAAGGUGGGGCCUAGCAAAAUUAGCCAUCCGCUUUAUAACUGUAGAAAUGUCCUCCGUUUCCGCUUACUUCUCCUUGGUGGGAAAAAAAAACAAUUAAAAGCGUGGAGGAAAUCAAACAUUUAAGCCAAACUCGUUUAGUGGACGGUCCUGGCCCACAACAAUCUGUCCUUCAAGAUGACCUUUUUCUAAAGGGCAAUAAUUGACUGGCACGACAUGGGCUACGCCUACGGUAAUCAUUGUCUAUUACAAUGUAUUAUCAGUUAACCCUAUCUAAAUCCAGAUAAAUAAUUAAGCCGUCAUCGCAGAGAUGUCAUUCAGUUUAAGCGAGAGUUGAUUGGUUUAUCGAGCUUGUUAAUCAGCUUAUAUUUUUCACUACUCUUGAUCCAGGACAAACUCUUCGAAGGAAACCGGUUUCGUGUUUGGUGGCUGGAGUUGCAGUUGAGCUUGUAACGGAUUUAGCAGACAAACUUCACCCCACAGUCCGCACUGAAACCGAAGUCACGACUCGGCGUGUCAGAGCCUCUGUGCUCAAACAGGUGCUGACUGUCUGCAGAGUGAGGAAAUGAGGAGAAGAAAAAAUAGUUUCCAUUCUCCCCUAGAAUAACGUCAGGGUUAUCAUCCUUCACGACAGGCGUCUGACGAGAACUGGUUCAGUUCAAUGAAGGGAGGAGGGAAGAAGAAAAAAAAA